rnacentral:rRNA from 1 species
AGAACGAACGCUGGCGGCAUGCCUAACACAUGCAAGUCGAACGAGACCUUCGGGUCUAGUGGCGCACGGGUGCGUAACGCGUGGGAACCUGCCUUGAGGUUCGGAAUAACUUCCCGAAAGGGAUGCUAAUACCGGAUGAUGUCUUCGGACCAAAGAUUUAUCGCCUUUAGAUGGGCCCGCGUUGGAUUAGCUAGUUGGUGGGGUAAAGGCCUACCAAGGCGACGAUCCAUAGCUGGUCUGAGAGGAUGAUCAGCCACACUGGGACUGAGACACGGCCCAGACUCCUACGGGAGGCAGCAGUGGGGAAUAUUGGACAAUGGGCGAAAGCCUGAUCCGAGCAAUGCCGCGUGAGUGAUGGAAGGUCCGUUAGGGUUGUAAAGCUUCUUUACGUGGGGAUGAUAAUGACAGUACCAGAGAAUAAGCUCCGCUAACUCCGU